rnacentral:rRNA from 1 species
GUCGAGCGCCCAGCAAUGGGAGCGGCAGACGGGUGAGUAACACGUGGGGAUGUGCCCAAAGGUACGGAAUAGCUCCGGGAAACUGGAAUUAAUACCGUAUGUGCCCUUCGGGGGAAAGAUUUAUCGCCUUUGGAUCAACCCGCGUCUGAUUAGCUAGUUGGUGAGGUAAAGGCUCACCAAGGCGACGAUCAGUAGCUGGUCUGAGAGGAUGAUCAGCCACACUGGGACUGAGACACGGCCCAGACUCCUACGGGAGGCAGCAGUGGGGAAUAUUGGACAAUGGGCGCAAGCCUGAUCCAGCCAUGCCGCGUGAGUGAUGAAGGCCUUAGGGUUGUAAAGCUCUUUCGCCGGUGAAGAUAAUGACGGUAACCGGAGAAGAAGCCCCGGCUAACUUCGUGCCAGCAGCCGCGGUAAUACGAAGGGGGCAAGCGUUGCUCGGAAUCACUGGGCGUAAAGCGUACGUAGGCGGGUCGUUAAGUCAGGGGUGAAAUCCUGGAGCUCAACUCCAGAACUGCCCUUGAUACUGGCGAUCUUGAGUUCGAGAGAGGUUGGUGGAACUGCGAGUGUAGAGGUGAAAUUCGUAGAUAUUCGCAAGAACACCAGUGGCGAAGGCGGCCAANUGGCUCGAU